CCUCGAGGGAGGUUCCCAUCAAAUGUGCCUUAUGGCAGACCAUCAGCUGGAGGCCAUCAGCGUCAAAGGCAAGUUGCACGUGGGACUUUUACAAGGACCAUUGUGUGCCUGCCAGACAGGCAUGGGGAUUUUGAGCCAAGUUUGGAAGACAAGAUGAUUCUCAAACAAGCUGGCCUGGGAGAAAAACUGUGCAAUUCCCCAAGGAUGGUUCUGCUGAAGAAGUGCAAGAUGCAUUGUAUAAGGCAUAUCCAAAGCUGGAAAAAGGUGGAGGCUUUGAAAUUCCUCGGAAUGAACAACGUUCACGGUCUACAUUAGUAGUAGUACAUAUUGGUCCUUGCUGUGCACAAGAUCUUAAAGCUGUAUCCACAUCCAGAAUGUACUUACGACCCAUUCAAGAAAACAUUCCAAUGGACAAGGACAAUGACCAAAUGAACACUUACUACCGAGGAAUGCAAAAUAUGUCACCGACAUCUCCCAAUAACUGCUCCGAGGGAUCAUUUUGAUGAGUGUCGCUCCAGUAUUGCUGGAAAUG